GAAAUGCGAUAAGUAGUGUGAAUUGCAGAAUUCAGUGAAUCAUCGAAUCUUUGAACGCACAUUGCGCCCUUUGGUAUUCCAAAGGGCAUGCCUGUUCGAGCGUCAUUUGUACCCUCAAGCUUUGCUUGGUGUUGGGCGUCUUGUCUCUAGCUUUGCUGGAGACUCGCCUUAAAGUAAUUGGCAGCCGGCCUACUGGUUUCGGAGCGCAGCACAAGUCGCACUCUCUAUCAGCAAAGGUCUAGCAUCCAUUAAGCCUUUUUUUCAACUUUUGACCUCGGAUCAGGUAGGGAUACCCUCUGAACUUAACC
rnacentral:misc_RNA from 1 species